rnacentral:rRNA from 1 species
AACGAACGCUGGCGGCAGGCUUAACACAUGCAAGUCGAACGCAUCCUUCGGGGUGAGUGGCAGACGGGUGAGUAACGCGUGGGAACGUGCCCUUCAGUUCGGGAUAACCCAGGGAAACUUUGGCUAAUACCGGAUACGUGCGAGAGCAGAAAGAUUUAUCGCGGAAGGAUCGGCCCGCGUCUGAUUAGCUAGUUGGUGGGGUAAUGGCCCACCAAGGCGACGAUCAGUAGCUGGUCUGAGAGGAUGAUCAGACACAUUGGGACUGAGACACGGCCCAAACUCCUACGGGAGGCAGCAGUGGGGAAUAUUGGACAAUGGGCGCAAGCCUGAUCCAGCCAUGCCGCGUGAGUGAUGAAGGCCUUAGGGUUGUAAAGCUCUUUCGUCCGGGACGAUAAUGACGGUACCGGAAGAAGAAGCCCCGGCCAACUUCGUGCCAGCCGCCGCGGUAA